UACGUAGGGUGCGAGCGUUGUCCGGAAUUAUUGGGCGUAAAGGGCUCGUAGGCGGUUUGUCGCGUCGGGAGUGAAAACCCAGGGCUUAACCCUGGGCUGGCUUCCGAUACGGGCAGACUAGAGGUAUGCAGGGGAGAACGGAAUUCCUGGUGUAGCGGUGAAAUGCGCAGAUAUCAGGAGGAACACCGGUGGCGAAGGCGGGUCUCUGGGCAACAACUGACGCUGAGGAGCGAAAGCGUGGGGAGCGAACAGG
rnacentral:rRNA from 1 species